UGGAAAAGGAAUAUUCAGUGAAACAAAGACACACCUCCAGAAACAACAAAGACAGUACAGAAGAGAUCUGUUCUCUCAAGAACUGUUAGGAAUGGACAGGCAAAUACUCGUCAAUCCACAGCCUGUGCAGAGCAACCCUGAGCAGCCCGGAUCUACAAGGAGAAGUGCUCCAGCCCCCUCAUCAUAUUUGUGGCCCUCCUCUGGACUCACUCCAACAGGUCAAUGUCAUUCCUGUGCUGAGGACCCUACAGCUGGAUGUUGUACUCCAAAGUGAGGUCCAAGAGAGCAGAAGAGAGAGCUAGAAUCACUCUCCUUGACCUGCUGGCCACGAUGCUUUGGAUACACUGGGCUUUUGGGGCUGCAAGAGCACAUACGCAUAAUAUACUUAACAUACAUAAUAACCUACACAGGCACCUAGAUUAAAAAAUUUUUGCGUGGAUCUAAGUAACAGUAGUUUCCAUGUACUAAGCAUUACUGCUUUCCUUUCCCCAAAAUAAAUUUUACCCCAUUUUUGAUUUGGGGUAGGCAUAGUCUGUUCUGCAAGAGGAUACAAAAUGCUACUAGUUCACUGAUUUACAUAGAUGUUACUAUCCAAUAGCCAUUUUCUGUUGACUCUCUUUGGCUUACAUAACUACAGGAGAUACAGCGUAACAAAGAAUCCUGCCCGGUUUAAAAACAGGCACUCCAUUUCUGGCAGCGGGUAGGAUAGCAAGACAGCCUUUAAUUCAAGCCUUUGAGUGUAUCCAUGCAACAUAAAGUACAAGCAUGAGAGGAACAUGCUGAUAGUGCUGCAUUAUCACUAACAGUGCUGAGAUGCAACAAGAAGGAAAAUCGAAGUGCACCUGCUCAUUUUCUCCCCAUUAGAGCCAAAUGAGGGUGUUGUUCUGGGCAACUUGGUCCAGUGUGCCCUUUCCGGAUGGCCAGCCUCCAUAGCAAGUGAGAAACUUUACUGCUUAUAUUGUGUAUUAUUUAUACCAUGGUUGUGCACACAAGAAUUCAGAAUGGCUCUACAUGCCUGUAUGUGUAACAAUACCAAGUGACAGAAAGGCAGAAAUUAAUUGUAUCCCAGAAAUAUCCAAGAAUAAAAUUUUAAAAGUGUCUACAUUUAAGAGCUACAUAUGGAAGAGGUUACAAGUGGAU